rnacentral:rRNA from 1 species
GCAUCGUGAUUACUUCAUGUCCUCGCCCGGGUCACCUCAUUUAGGAUCUUGCUCCUCCGCUGGCGAGUGGCGGUCCCGUGAGGAAUACAUCUUUCUCUCCUCUGUCGUGGGGGAUAAUAUAAGGACACUUACGCUAAUACCCCCUACCACCUACGGGUGAAAGCGGGGGAUCUUCGGACCUUGCCCGAUUGAAUGAGCCGAUGUCGGAUUACCUAGUUGGCGGGGUAAAGGCCCACCAAGGCUACUAUCUGUAUCUGGUCUGACACGAUGAUCAGCCGCACUGGAACUGAGACACGGUCCAGACUCCUACGACAGGCCUCAGUGCCGAAUAUUGGACAAUGGGCGCAAGCCUGAUCCAGCCAUACCGCCUGGGUGAAUAAGGGCUUCGAGUUGUAAAGCCCUUUUGUUGUGAAAGAAAUCCAUCUGGUUCUACCCGGGUGGGAGACGGUACCCAGCAAUAAGCGCCGGGUAGCUUCGUGCCCUUAAGGACAGGACACCAAGGGUGCAACCGUUACUCUGAAUUGCUGGGCUUAAUUCGUGCGUGCGUAGCCGUUUAAAUCCGGUGUGACAGCUCUGGUCUGAAUCUGGCAACUGCAUUGAAUUCUGAUCGACUAGAAUGUGUC